rnacentral:lncRNA from 1 species
CCCAAGGCUGCCUACUAGGACAGUUAUGCAAGUGGUUAAUUGGUGUAGCAGAGCUGGUCGCCAGCUUGGAGAUCUACAGGUAAAGCUCCCAGGUGGUCCAGGAGAUUAAAACCUACUGGGUCCGGGACCCUAUGAGUUGGAAGCAUGGUGCAUAAAUUGGCCCUUCGUGCUCAACUGGAGGUAUCUGUAUUUAUGGUAAAAUCUUGUAGGACCACUAUCAUCUGUUAAGUCUCCUGGAAGUUUUCCAUGAAAGGAAUGAAAACAUCAAAGGAACUAUUAGUUUGGGUUACUGGAAAAAAUUUAAACUAGUUCAAACCAAAAAAAGGAAAGGUGACCAGUUUCAUAGUUAACAUGUUUUCUGCCCCUAAGAAACCACAGGCUGGAAUGAUUAGAAGUACAAGGCCCCAGGAGUUCCCUGGUGGCACAGCAGGUUAAGGAUCCAGUGUCAUCCCUACAGCAGCUUGUGGAUGCUGAGUUCCAUCCCUGGCCCAGGAACUUUCACAUGCUGCAGGCUCAGCCCCCCAAAAAAGUGCAGGGCCCUGGAGCCACUGUGUUAUUCCACCACUUCACUGUGUUGGAGCUCUAGCAAGUUUCUGAACUCUAAUGCACCUGCUUUUCCUCACUGUAAAAUAGAGGCAAUAAGCCUGUCUCAUGGGUUAUCUCAGAGAUUAAGUCAAUAAUUGCAAAGCAUUUAGAACCUCUCGAUAGUAUUAAUAACUGCAGAUUAAAUCUGCCUUGGAAGGCAAUCAGAAGAGUUCAAUUCAGCAAACAUUUGAUGAAGACCUGCUUUAAAACAUUUGAUAAGCUCAGUGAGAAAUCAUGACCUCCAGGACUUUAUAGUCCAGUGAGAGAAAACCAGCACUUCAUGAGUGUCCACAGAGCCAGGCUCUGUGCCUGGGGUGUCUACACAUCUUCUCAUCCUCACAAGAACAUGUGAGCUAUUGCUCUGUCCUUGAUGCCUUAUGUCAUUUAUUUAUUUUUUUAUAAAUGAGGAAACUAGUUUAGAAACUAAAGAAUUUGUCCAAAGUCACCUAACUAGGUAGUAUGGAAAUCAGAAUUGGCUGACACAAAAAUCUAGUUAAUCCUAUUGUUUUCUUACCCUUGCCAGUUUGCAGAGAUGUCAACUUCUAUAAAAGAAGGCAAAAUGAAAAGCAUAGAGGAAAGAAAAAAGAGUUCAGACUUGGCUGAGUAGAGAUCAAUAAAGGUUUUAGAGGGAAAGUGGUGUUUAAGGUUGAUCCUUGGAGGAUGGAAGCAUUUUAAUAGACUUUGGGGCAAGAGAACAAUCUAAGUAGAAGUCCGUGUGACAGUUACCUGUGGUUUGGAACACUCCCACACCUGCCCAUCAAGUUCUAAAGACGUGCCUCCAACCCGCAGGGUUACUGUGGGGUUUAUUAUAUGGUAUAAUGUGAUCAGGUGGUCCAGGCAGAGGCCUUUUCUGGGACUGGAAGUCAGGAAGAGUUUCUCUGUGCCUGGCUGAAGCUGUAGGAAACCUUGGGAAUUGCCUUCUGCCAUCUCCUGCUCUGUGGGCUGGUGACGAGGAAUGAGACAGGGUCCUCAGGGCAUCUGGUUCCCGGGUCUAGGAUUUGUCAAGUGCUGCCAUGUUCCUGUACUUGGCUAGCCUGGGACGCGCCGGAAUGCUGAUGGAGAAUCCCCUUUUCUGCUUCAUGUAGUUUGAUUUAGGUUUUUGUGACCUGCAAGCAAAUGUGAUUUAAGCCAUAUAAAAAGGAAUGUACUUGACUUUUAAAGAUAGAUCAUUUUUAUAGAUUAUGUUAACCCAAACAAUUCUUGUUCACUCAAGAUUUUUAAAGUCCAAGAAAAACAAAAAGAAACUAAAAGUCACCUGUACUAACCCUUGAUAAGUAAAUUAGUUUAUCCUUGAGUUAGGUGAUGAUGACAGACAGGCAGAGAGACAUGCAGGAAAUUCAGGUCUAAAGGUUGGUCUUUGUAGCAGAGAUGACAGUUGGUUUCAUUUGUUAAGCAGUUACUGGCACCGUCCUGUGCUGGCCACUGUGCUGGGUGAUAAAAGUUAUAAAAAUGAACAAAUCCUCGGCUCCACCCUCAAGGAGCCUGAACACUACUGACAGGCAGACAAGUGAAGAGACAAUGACACAGUGCUGUGACAGCGAGGGGCACAGAAGGGGACAUAAGCGGGACCAGAGUUAGGGAAGCACCUCUGGGCUUAGUCUCACUAUGCUCACUGGGAAUGACGUGGGCACCGGGUGGGGAGGGGAGGAUGUGCGUUGGGCAGAAGGGGCAAAGUGUGGAAAGCCUGGCACCUUUGGGGACGGUAAUGCCAUGGAGCUGGAGUGUAGGGCAGUUAGCAAUGGUCAAGAGGAGAGUGGAGAGACAAGAAGGGGCCAGGUCACUAAGGAUCUUGUACCUGUUGUAAUAAAAGAUGGGAUUUUAUUUUUUCCCCAUAGGAUUUUAGCUCCUAGAGAUCUCUUGCAUCCUAGAAGGGAUGACAACAGUUCAGAGUCCAGGAGAGAAUCUGCAGUGAAGCAUAUACAUGAGGAGUGAGAAGAACUAACAAAGUAGGAAAGAAUCGUAGAAGCCAAGGGGAGCAUGUCAGUCAGGAGUUAAUGAACAUUGAGAAGAGAACAGAUGGAGAAAGGUGAGACCUUGGGAAAGGUUCGCCUUAUUUCCAGCCCAUGCAGAUGUGAUCGUUGAGUCAGGGCACCUGAGUUGACGGACCUGUUUUGAAGGCUGGUUCUAUCCCUUUCAAGGUGCAUUUCAGGCAAGGGAAUUAACGUCUGAGCUUCAGUCUCAAGAGCUGUAAACUGGGGAUGUAAUAGCCAUGCUCGUGCAGGUGGUGUGAUGCGCACUGAAUACUUGGCACAGAGCCAAGCACACACAGGACAUUUCCUAGUGACUUGGUGGCGUUGAUGUUGAUGGCCUAGACGGCUUCAUAAAUGCAGGCCUCUCAAUAAAAGGAGGUGGCAGGAUUCUAAGUACCUCUGGGAGAAGGUAGUUGACUUGAAACACAGUAAGAAUUUUUAAUUCCCCGCAACAAUGAUAAAUAUUAAAAAAAAAUGCAGUGAGUUCUGGCAAAGAAAAACAAGAGAAAGAAAAAAAAAAGCAACGUCCAGUGUGUAGCAUAGCUCAUGUUCAUAAAACAUAAAUCUUGUCCAUUUUCCCCUGAUGCUGCCAGUGGGAGUCCCAACUGUGGAUUCUUUUUUUGUUUUGUUUUUCCUGCAAUUUUUCUUUUUUUUUAAGUUGAAUAAAAGAUUCCUUAAAUUCCUUAGUGCUUUACAAUUUUCAAAUGCUUCACACACAAUUUCGUGUGAUCUCCUGAUACUCCUUCUUCUCUCCCACCCCUAGGUUGCCCUCCUCACUUUCCCUCUGCCCUGGUAGCUGCUAGUUUGUUCUAUCUGUGAGUCUACUUCUUCUCUGGUUUAUUCACUAGUUUGUUGGAUUUUUUAGUUUCCGCAUAUAAGUGACAUCCAUUGGUGGAUACCUGACUGAAGAAUCUUGGGGGGACUACAUUGCAAGUUUUAUGCUAUUUGCUAAAUAUUCAUACUUUCAAGGUGCUUAUAAAUACUGAUUUUCAUUUACAUUACUCCCUUGUUCAUUUAAAUUACCCCCUAAUUUAGGAGUUCCUGUUGUGGCUUAGCAGGUUACAAAUCUGACUCAGAACCAUAAGGAUGGGGGUGACAUCCCUGGCCUCGCUCAGUGGGUUGAGGAUCCUGUAUUGCCAUGAGCUGUGGUGUAGGUCGAAGAUGCGGCUCGGAUCCUGUAUUGCUGUGGCUGUGGUAUAAGCUGGCAGCUGCAGCUCCGAUUCAUUCCCCUAUAGGAACUUCCAUAUGCCAAAGGUGCGGCCCUUAAAAAAAUAGAUAAAAUAAAAUAAAAUAACCCCCUAAUUUAGAAACUAGCUGCUUGUUAGGACAGCUCUUACCCUUGUGAUUUCAGUUCUAAAAUCGUUUCUUGUUUUUUUUUUUUGUCUUUUUAGGGCCACACCUACAGUAUAUGGUGGUUCCCAGACUAGAGGUCUAAUCAGAGCUGUAGGUGCCGGCUUACGACACAGCCACAGCACUGUGGUAUCCAAGCCGCAUUGGUGACCUACACCACAGCUCACGACAACACCGGAUCCUUAACCCACUGAGCAAGUUCUAUCCCUGGCCGUACUUAGCAGGUCAAGAUCUGGAGUUGCAUUAAGCUGUGGUGUAGGUCACAGACAUGGCUCGGAUCCAGUGUUGCUGUGAUUCUGGCAUAGGCCAGCAGCUGCAGCUCCAAUGUGACCCCUAGCCCGGGAAAUUCCAUAUGCUGCAAGCGCAGCCCUAAAGAGCAAAAAAAAAAAAAAAAAAACAACAAAUAACCAAUGUUCUCUCUCUACUCUGAUGGAAAUCCUCCAGUAAGUCCUUGACAUGGCCUUUGACAUGCAUCUUAAUGUGAAUAGUAAGGUGCCACUGUCUGCAGAAAAUGUGAAGCCCUUCACAGGCUGGCUCCUCCCAUCCCCCAGUGUGUCCCCACACAGGCUCUAAGCUCCCAUCUCCCUGGAAAACGGCCAUAAAAAGGAAAAAAAAAAAA